CAUUGCUGAUGUGAUGCUUCUGGUGUUGCUUGGCAUGGAAUAGAUAUAUUUGAGAAAACCCAAAAGCGAAAUUAACGUGACUGUACGUAUGUACAUGGGAUUACAUUUAUUUAUUAUAUGUUGAUUUAUAAAAAUGAAUUUCCAUCCCAGGGCGAUUUAUAAUUAAUUUCGAUUAUGAAAUCGUACCUUGAGCAUACAUGGUAGGACCCGAAAGAUGGUGAACUAUGCCUGAUCAGGUUGAAGUCAGGGGAAACCCUGAUGGAGGACC
rnacentral:rRNA from 1 species